UACGUAGGGGCUAGCGUUGUCCGGAAUCAUUGGGUCGUAAAGAGCGUGUAGGCGGCUCGGUAAGUCCGCUGUGAAAGUCCAGGGCUCAACCCUGGAAUGCCAGUGGAAACUGUCGAGCUAGAGUCCGGAAGAGGCGAGUGGAAUUCCUGGUGGUAGCGGUGAAAUGCGCAGAUAUCAAGGAGGAACACCGAUGGCGAAGGCAGGUCUCUGGGCAUUAACUGACGCUGAGGAGCGAAAGCAUGGGGAGCGAACAGG
rnacentral:rRNA from 1 species